rnacentral:misc_RNA from 1 species
GAUGAAGAACGCAGCGAAAUGCGAUACGUAAUGUGAAUUGCAGAAUUCAGUGAAUCAUCGAGUCUUUGAACGCACAUUGCGCCCCCUGGUAUUCCGGGGGGCAUGCCUGUCCGAGCGUCAUUGCUGCCCUCAAGCACGGCUUGGGUGUUGGGCCUCCGUCCUCCUCCCGGGGGACGGGCCCGAAAGGCAGCGGCGGCACCGCGUCCGGUCCUCGAGCGUAUGGGGCUUCGUCACCCGCUCUUGUAGGCCCGGCCGGCGCUUGCCGACACAUCAAUCUUUUUUCCAGGUUGACCUCGGAUCAGGUAGGGAUACCCGCUGAACUUAAUCAUAUCAAUAAGCGGAGGA